GAUACCCCACUAUUAACCCUACCCACCAUAGCCAACCAGUCUAUAUACCGCCGUCGCCAGCCCACCUCCUGAGAGCAUAAAAGUGAGCCAAACAGUUCAACACUAACACGACAGGUCAAGGUGUAACUAAUGGGUGGGAACAAGAUGGGCUACAUUUUCUAUUCAGAACAAACGAAUAAACUUUGAAAAAAUAACUGAAGGCGGAUUUAGCAGUAUAUUAAGGACAAAACACUUAAUCGAAACCACCGCAAUGGGGUGCGCACACACCGCCCGUCAUCCCUGCCACUAAACUAACACAUUCAUAAUAACCUCAUUAAUACAAAUCAGGGCAAGUCGUAACAUGGUAAGCGUACUGGAAAGUGCGCUUAGAAACAAAAAGUAGCUUACAAAAAGCAUUCGGCCUACAACCGAAAGACAUUACAUCAAUCUUUUUGAGCCAACAAUAACGCACAAACAUAUACCAAUAAAAUAAACAAAGCAUUUGACCAACUUAGUAGAUGAGAUCGAACAGUAAACAUAAUCAGUACCGUAAGGGAAACAAACAAGCAAUAAACAGCAAAGACUAACCCUUGUACCUUUCGCAUCAUGGUCUAGCAAGAAAUUAAAGACAAGAAGAAUCAUAGCCUUCACCCCGAAACCAGAUGAGCUACUUUCAAGCAGCCAAAAGGGCUCACCCUUCUCUGUAGCAAAAGAGUGGGAAGACUUAAAAGUAGAAGUGAAACGCCUAUCGAAUCUGGAGAUAGCUGGCUACCCAAAAAAGAAUAUAAGUUCAACCACAGAACCAACAAGAACACGUUCUUUCCUGUGGAAAAUCAAUAGGGGUCCAGCCCUAUUGAAACAGGAUACAACCUGAAUUUGAGAGAAUAACUUAAACCUCAACCAGUAGACCUUAAAGCAGCCACCUAAAAAAAUAUCGUUAAAGAAUUUCCAAACUAAUACCAACACCAAUUUCAAACUCCAAACCAACUAAAGGUAGACCCAUAACAAUGGGUACUAUUAUGCUAGAACUAAUAAUAAGACAACCUCUCUUCAUGCACCUUUCCACUAAACCGGACCAACCAUUAGCCAUUAACAGACCACAACAGGCAUUAAACCAAACAUUACACAACUUAAAUCAUACUGUUACCCCAACACAGGCGCAUCAAAAAGAAAGAUUUACAAUUAUAAAAGGAACUCGGCAAACAAAGAUUCCAACUGUUUAACAAAAACAUAACCUUUAGAUCAACCAAUAUUAAAGGCAACGCCUGCCCAGUGAACAUUAAACGGCCGCGGUACCCUAACCGUGCAAAGGUAGCAUAAUCACUUGUCUACUAAUUAUAGACCUGUAUGAAAGGCAAAAUGAGAAUCUAGCUGUCUCUUAUAAUCAACCAAUUAAACUGAUCUCCUAGUAAAAAAGCUAGAAUUAAACCAUAAGACCAGAAGACCCUGUGAAGCUUUAACUAAACUAUUAAACCAUAUAAUACCUACUUUCGGUUGGGGCGACCUUGGAAACAAAAAGAACUUCCAACAAUGCAACCUACCCCGCACUACACCUAGGCCUACAAGCCAAUUAAUGACCCAGCAAAGCUGAUAAUUGAACCAAGUUACUCCAGGGAUAACAGCGCAAUCCUCUUCAAGAGCCCAUAUCAAAAAGAGGGUUUACGACCUCGAUGUUGGAUCAGGACAUCCUAAUGGUGCAGACGCUAUUAAGGG
rnacentral:rRNA from 1 species